UAAUUUAAGGGCUGCAGUAUAUUGACUGUACAAAGGUAGCAUAAUCAUUAGUCUCUUAAUUGGUGACUUGUAUGAAGGAUUGGAUGAAAUAUAAACUGUCUGCUUAUUUAUAAAUAGAAUUUAAUUUUUUUAUUAAAAAGUAAAAAUAAUUUUAAAAGACGAGAAGACCCUAUAGAGUUUUAUAUUUAAUAUUAUUAUAAUUUAUUUAUAAAUUUAAAAAUUUAUAUAAUAUAAAAUAUUUUAUUGGGGUGAUAGAAAAAUUUAAAUAACUUUUUUUAGGAAUAAACAAUAAUAAAUGAGUAAAAUGAUCCAUAAUUUAUGAUUAUAAGAAAAAAUUACCUUAGGGAUAACAGCGUUAUUUUUUUU
rnacentral:rRNA from 1 species